rnacentral:rRNA from 1 species
GGAUUAGAUACCCUGGUAGUCCACGCCGUAAACGAUGAUAACUCGAUGUUGGCAAUACACCGUCAGCGUCCUAGCGAAAGCGUUAAGUUAUCCACCUGGGGAGUACGAUCGCAAGAUUGAAACUCAAAGGAAUUGACGGGGGCCCGCACAAGCGGAGGAGCAUGUGGUUUAAUUCGAUGAUACGCGAGGAACCUUACCUGGGCUCAAACGUAGAGUGAUGGUCUGUGAAAGCAGGCUUCCCUUCGGGGCAGUCUACGAGGUGCUGCAUGGUUGUCGUCAGCUCGUGUCG